UGGCUGGCUGCUCUGGCGGGGGUUCCUUUCUGGCGAGCCGUCAUGCCCUUUACUGGGUGUGGCGGGGAGCCAGGACUUUUACUUUGAAAAAAUUAGAGUGUUUAAAGCAGGCCUACGCUUGAAUACAUUAGCAUGGAAUAAUAGAAUAGGACCUCGGUUCUAUUUUGUUGGUUUCUAGGACCGAAGUAAUGAUUAAUAGGGAUAGUUGGGGGCAUUAGUAUUUAGUAGCUAGAGGUGAAAUUCUUGGAUUUACGAAAGACUAACUUCUGCGAAAGCAUUUGCCAAGGAUGUUUUCAUUAAUCAAGAACGAAAGUUAGGGGAUCGAAGACGAUCAGAUACCGUCGUAGUCUUAACCAUAAACUAUGCCGACUAGGGAUCAGACGAUGUUAAUUUACUGACUCGUUUGGCACCUUAUGAGAAAUCAAAGUUUUUGGGUUCCGGGGGGAGUAUGGUCGCAAGGCUGAAACUUAAAGGAAUUGACGGAAGGGCACCACCAGGAGUGGAGCCUGCGGCUUAAUUUGACUCAACACGGGGAAACUCACCAGGUCCAGACAUAGGAAGGAUUGACAGAUUGAGAGCUCUUUCUUGAUUCUAUGGGUGGUGGUGCAUGGCCGUUCUUAGUUGGUGGAGUGAUUUGUCUGCUUAAUUGCCGUUAACAAACGAGACCUUAACCUGCUAAAUAGUUAUGCCAACAUUCGUUGGUAGCCAACUUCUUAGAGGGACUGUCGGCGAUUAGCCGACGGAGUUUAGGCAAUAACAG
rnacentral:rRNA from 1 species